GACGAACGCUGGCGGCGUGCUUAACACAUGCAAGUCGAACGGAAAGGCCCUGCUUUUGUGGGGUGCUCGAGUGGCGAACGGGUGAGUAACACAUGAGUAACCUGCCCUUGACUUUGGGAUAACUUCAGGAAACUGGGGCUAAUACCGGAUAGGAGCUCCUGCUGCAUGGUGGGGGUUGGAAAGUUUCGGCGGUUGGGGAUGGACUCGCGGCUUAUCAGCUUGUUGGUGGGGUAGUGGCUUACCAAGGCUUUGACGGGUAGCCGGCCUGAGAGGGUGACCGGCCACAUUGGGACUGAGAUACGGCCCAGACUCCUACGGGAGGCAGCAGUGGGGAAUAUUGCACAAUGGGCGGAGGCCUGAUGCAGCAACGCCGCGUGCGGGAUGACGGCCUUCGGGUUGUAAACCGCUUUCGCCUGUGACGAAGCGUGAGUGACGGUAAUGGGUAAAGAAGCACCGGCUAACUACGUG
rnacentral:rRNA from 1 species